AUGUGAGAUAACAUUAAGUGGUCUUGCUAUGCAAGAACACUUAACUAGAAAAACUACAAUUUCUGGGGAAAUUGUGUGAAGUGUUCUUGCCUCCACCAGGAGUCUACAACUGGAGUGGGCAGAGUAACUGUUAUCAUUUAUAUAGCACAUUCAAUUGCAACGUUGUUGCACAGUUACAUUAAACCAUACAUUUCUAAAACAUUAGCAGGUGUUCAAAAGGCCCUGUCUAUGACAUCACUUGC